UCUUCAGAUGGAUUUUUAUUCGCAGGCAUUACAAUAACAAUAAUUUCUAGGGUUAGAUGGCCUAAUUUACUACUAAAUCUGCCAAAGAAAAGGCCCUUAUUUACACCUAGGGUUUCAUAGUCAUCAACUACAUUAAGUCUAUAUAAUAACCAAAAGAACCCUAGAAAUUGACGUAAACCUACUUCAAAGAAAACCCUAAAUAAGCACAAAUUAGA
rnacentral:lncRNA from 1 species